rnacentral:rRNA from 1 species
AGUGAACGCUGGCGGUAGGCCUAACACAUGCGAGUCGAACGGCAGCACAGUAAGAGCUUGCUCUUACGGGUGGCGAGUGGCGGACGGGUGAGGAAUACAUCGGAAUCUACUUUUUCGUGGGGGAUAACGUAGGGAAACUUACGCUAAUACCGCAUACGACCUACGGGUGAAAGCAGGGGAUCUUCGGACCUUGCGCGAUUGAAUGAGCCGAUGUCGGAUUAGCUAGUUGGGGGGUAAAGGCCCACCAAGGCGACGAUCCGUAGCUGGUCUGAGAGGAUGAUCAGCCACACUGGAACUGAGACACGGUCCAGACUCCUACGGGAGGCAGCAGUGGGGAAUAUUGGACAAUGGGCGCAAGCCUGAUCCAGCCAUACCGCGUGGGUGAAGAAGGCCUUCGGGUUGUAAAGCCCUUUUGUUGGGAAAGAAAAGCAGCAGGUUAAUACCCCGCUGUUCUGACGGUACCCAAAGAAUAAGCACCGGCUAACUUCGUG